AUUCAUUCAUUCAUUGAUUCCAUAAAUAUUCCUCUCCUCUCUAAAGGUACCAACUACCAACCCUAACCUCUCCUUUUCCUCUCUGAACCGAACCGCCGCAGCAGCAGCUACCUGAUGGCGAUGUUUCGCGUCUCCAAUUCCAGUCCCCUGGCGCUCAUCCGCAAAGCAGAAGGAGACAACACUGAUUCCGAUCCUAAAGGUAAAAACAAACAAACAAACCCUAAAUCAUAUUUUCUUAUAUAUCUUUGCUGCUUUGUUUUCUUUUGAUUAUUAUUAUUAGUUGAGAAUGAGAAGGAUUUUGCGAAAUUGAAAGAUUCCUUUACUAAUUCCAUAAGAUGAUUUCUUGUUUGUUUUCUUUUGAUUAUUAUUAUUAUUAUUAUUAGUUGUGAAUGAGAAGGAUUUUGCAAAAUUGGAAGUUUCUGUUACUAAUUCCAUAAAUAAUUUAAAUGGAUGAUUUCCUGUUUGUUUUCUUUUCAUUAUUAGUUGAGAAUGAUAUUGAUCCACCGAAAAAGAAAUUGAAAGUAGAAGAAGACGAAGAAUUCAGCACUGAUUUCGGUACAACCCCUAAAUCAUAUUUUGAUGAAGCGAAGUCAGGAAGUGAAAAGCCCAAUCCAGUCUUCGUAGAAAGGGAACAGUUUAACUUCAAUUAUUCUGGACUAGAAGAAGAAUACAGCACUGAUUUCGGUACAAACCCUAAAUCAUAUUUUGAUGAAGCAAAGUCAGGAAGUGAAAGUCCCAAAUCAUAUUUUGAUGAAGCAAAGUCAGGAAGUGAAAGUCCCAAUCCAGUCUUCGUAGAAAGGGAACAGUUGAAAUUCGAUUAUUCUGGACUAGAAGAAGAAAUGCCCUUCCCCCCAAAAGAAUAUGAGUUGCAAGAAUAUGAGUGGCUGAGACAUGUUUAUACUCAUAAAUAUGACUUUGCAAUGCCGGAGGAGUCAGGAAGUGAAAGUCCCAAUCCAAUCUUCGUAGAAAGGGAACAGCUUGAAUUCAAUUAUUCUUCUGGAAUAGAAGAAAUGCCCCCCCUCCCAAAAGAAUAUGAGUGGCUGAGACAUGUUUAUUGAUAAAUAUGACUUUGCAAUGCCGGAUCAAGUUGAUGAAGCGAUGUCAGG
rnacentral:lncRNA from 1 species